GAAACCGGAGCUAAUACCGGAUAAUAUUUUGUAACCGCAUGGUUCAAAAGUGAAAGACGGUCUUGCUGUCACUUAUAGAUGGAUCCGCGCUGCAUUAGCUAGUUGGUAAGGUAACGGCUUACCAAGGCAACGAUGCAUAGCCGACCUGAGAGGGUGAUCGGCCACACUGGAACUGAGACACGGUCCAG
rnacentral:rRNA from 1 species